rnacentral:rRNA from 1 species
AAGGGCACCACAAGAACGCGUGGAGCAUGUGGCUUAAUUUGACUCAACGCGGGAAAUCUUACCGGGUCCGGACACACUGAGGAUUGACAGAUAUAUUAAUUAUUAAUAAAUAUAUUUUAUUAAUCUUAGAAAGAUGCUAGUUCUUUCAUGAUUAUGUGAUAGGUGGUGCAUGGCCGUUCUUAGUUCGUGGAGUGAUCUGUCUGCUUAAUUGCGUUUCACUAAAGGUCUUAUAUAUUAUACAGUGUGUUGACACUUUGCAUUGACCCCUACUCAUUGAGUGGUUGCGUGUCUUUGUUAUACUGUCUCAUACUUAUUUAGGCCUUGAAAGCAACGAACGUGACCGCAACCUCUUGUUGCCUUAUACAAUAAAUAAUAUAUAUGUAUCUCUGCAUACAAUAUAUUAUUAAUAAAGGCUAUUUUAUUAUUAAACUAGAGGGACCGCUGUGAUCUUUUUUAAACCAGAGGAAGGUUGCGGCAAUAACAGGUCUGUGAUGCCCUUAGAUGUUCCGGGCUGCACACGUGCUACAAUGAUUAUUGCAGUGAGCAUCUCAUUUAUAUUAACAGCUGUCUUGUACGUGUAUUUUUAUUGUAUUUUUAUAAUAUUAAUAAUUAUUACAUUGUACACAGCUAAGCCUGCUUCGAGAGGUUAGCGGGUAACCAAUUAGAAGUAAUGAUUUCUAUUUAUUAUGCACAAUUAUAUGUGGCAUUUAUAUCCGGGUUAUAACUUUGCUUAUAACUUUUGUGUGUAUAAAUGUAUUUUAUAUCCACAUGUGCAAUUAUUAAUUCAUGGUGGGGACAGACUAUUGUUAAUUGUUAGUCUCGGUCUUAACUAGGAAUGCCUUGUACGGGUCUUUGGUUCAACAAACCACCCGGAAUACGUCCCUGCCCUUUGUACACACCGCCCGUCGCUCUUACCGAUGAACUUCUCUGUGAGUCUAAUGGACUAAUUAUUAUUAUUUAAUAUAAUUAUAAUGGAAAAUUAUACGAACAGGGUGGUUUAAAGGAAAGAGAAGUCGAACAAGGC